CGGGAGGCAGCAGUGGGGAAUUUUGCGCAAUGGGGAAAACCCUGACGCAGCAACGCCGCGUGAAGGAUGAAGGCCUUUGGGUCGUAAACUUCUGUCAGAGGGGAAGAAAUGCCCGAAAGGGAGCUGACGGUACCCUCAAAGGAAGCACCGGCUAACUCCGUGCCAGCAGCCGCGGUAAUACGGAGGGUGCAAGCGUUGUUCGGAAUUAUUGGGCGUAAAGAGCAUGNNNNNNGACUGUUAAGUCUGGUGUGAAAGCCCGGGGCUCAACCCCGGAAGUGCAUUGGAUACUGGCAGUCUUGAGUAUGGGAGAGGAAAGUGGAAUUCCGAGUGUAGGAGUGAAAUCCGUAGAUAUUCGGAGGAACACCAGUGGCGAAGGCGGCUUUCUGGACCAAUACUGACGCUGAGAUGCGAAAGCGUGGGGAGCAAACAGGAUUAGAUACCCUGGUAGUCCACGCCGUAAACGAUGGGUACUAGGUGUUGCGGGUAACCACUCNNGCAGUGCCGCAGCUAACGCAUUAAGUACCCCGCCUGGGNNNNANNNCCGCAAGGCCUAAAACUCAAAGGAAUUGANCGG
rnacentral:rRNA from 1 species